CGAGUAAACCGGAUGGUCGCGGGAAUAAAGGCCGAAAGGCGGAUUCCUGAGGAAAGUCCGAGCUCCAUAGGGCAGAGUGCCGGAUAACGUCCGGUGGAGGCGACUCCAAGGAUAGUGCCACAGAAACAAACCGCCUGGCUGAAUAGAGGCCGGAGUCCUCGAGGCCGGAGCCCAUGAGCCAGGUAAGGGUGGAAAGGUGAGGUAAGAGCUCACCAGCGGUUAGGCGACUAACCGGCUCGGUAAACCCCACUCGGAGCAAGACCGAAUAGGGGAGCGUGAAGGCUGGCCCGGCCUGCUCCCGGGUAGGUUGCUAGAGGCGGCUGGCAACAGUCGUCCCAGAUAGAUGACCAUCCUCGACAGAACUCGGCUUACAGGUUUACUCGCAAU
rfam:Carboxydocella sporoproducens DSM 16521 genome assembly, contig: BR84DRAFT_scaffold00008.8